CCUACGGGAGGCAGCAGUGAGGAAUUUUCCGCAAUGGGCGAAAGCCUGACGGAGCAAUGCCGCGUGGAGGAGGAAGGCCUGUGGGUCGUAAACUCCUUUUCUCAGAGAAGAAGUUCUGACGGUAUCUGAGGAAUAAGCAUCGGCUAACUCUGUGCCAGCAGCCGCGGUAAU
rnacentral:rRNA from 1 species